rnacentral:lncRNA from 1 species
GAGAUAGUUGCCUGAAGCGCAACCUUGGCUUCUUCUUUACACACAUAUACGCCUAUACACAGAAGAUAUAGGCCUGGAAGAGAGAGCGGCACAGCUGUGAUUUCUUCCUACCAUAUAUUCUGCUCUUACUGGUAAAUCAUUUUCUUCUAAGGCAAAAAAUGAUACUUUAUCUGGGGAAAUUCAUAAGCUACAUAUUACUUCAUUAAACUAUAAUAAAUAAUGGAAGAACCAAAGUAAAAACAAUAGCCUAAGAUUGGAUCUUUGUUCCCCCCUCCCCCCCCCCCCCGCGCACACACAAAUUAUAUUUUCAUAAUAACAACUUUACCGGGUAAUUAUUUUCCCAAAAUUUAUGUUUAUAACAGCAACUCGUCAAAGCAUAAACAUUGUUAAAUGCCAGCUGCGCAGCUUUUACAAGACCCCUCCGACGAUCUCUCUUCUUUGUCGACCAAGCGACACCUAUGGCUGAGCAACUCCGGCGAAUCACCAAACAACAAUCAACAAUAGAACUCCGGCGUUUUG